rnacentral:tRNA from 1 species
ACUGGGUUGGCCGAGUGGUUAAGGCGUUGGACUUAAGUUCCAAUGGACAAGUGUCCGCGUCGGGGUUCGAUCGACCCCACACCCAGUA